GAAAACCACUCUGCUCAUUGCCCUCGAGUAGGCUGUGCCCUAAAGUUGCCCAAAUGUGCCCGAAGGUGCCCGAUAGAGCCCUGAAGCCAAGAAAAAAACAAGACGGUGCAUAGCAACCGUGUUACAAUAUUUGUUUAUAGUUUUACAAUCCUGUCAGCGUAAACGAGUAAAUCAAUUUCAUGUUUUUUUAUUCUGGACGUUAUAGUUCUAGUGCUGUGGAAUUUGUUCAUUUCUUUGUUGGAAAAAAGAUAGAAUAAAUCUCGUAAAACCAAACACACUUGGAAUAAACCGUGGAAUAAACUUACUGGAAAAGUUUGUAAUUAUAUUCGAAGCUAGGAAACCAAUCCCCCGAAGGAAGUAAUUCCGGUCCCGCCCUAGGUUCCUCUUAGGUCCCGAUCAGCCAAGCACCUAGCUCAUCCUGUUUACAAAUAACUCGGCGAUGACCCUGGCUGGUUCAAGAGUUGUUCCAUGUGGCCGAAAACACGCCCUGUUUAUUGGGUAUUUCGACGAAAUGAUCACCUAUCGAUAUUUAUCAAUUCAAUAAAAUUUUAUGGAAAA